rnacentral:tRNA from 1 species
GAGCUACGCAAAAGAAACUUCUAAUUUCUUAUAAAAGCGCUAAAACGCUUAUAGCUCU